CGUCAUUUGACAGAACGAUAACUGUGAGCGUCAGUGCUGCGGAAACCGGACAGUACGGCGUUGCCGGGAAGUUCACUCUGUUCUUACAAAUUUCCAAGAACUAGAGGAGUCGCCUUUUUUUCGGUUCCUUACAAACUGCCUGCAAUAGAGGUUGAAGUACUUCCAGAAAUGGAUCGACAAUGGCGAGGAAAACUAUGUACAGCCCGAAAUGAUCCACACAUGUAUACAUUUGAUGGCAGGUCGUAUGAACAUCACGCUGAAGAAGGAGACAACAUCUUGUACAAGCACUCAGUGUAUGGAAAUGUCGAGGUCCAGCAUAGAAUAGCAAAUUGCACGGAUGGCCAAAGUCGAGCGAAAUGUAACUGUGACGUGGCAGUAAGUGCCGGACGUGACGUUUACGUCAUCAACGUGUGCAAUGGGUACAUCGACAUUGGCUACAGGCAGUGCUGGGAUAAGGCGUUAACAGUGAAAAAAGAAAACGACUAUACUUACACGAUCUAUUUGCCAUACGGCACUGCUGUCAGGGCGCGGAUAGACAGCGCACCGUUUAUGGGUGAGCAAGGAGGCAGAGUUUUGGACAUUUCCGUAAAUCCAUCGAUUCAAGACAGCAGUGGGAAUAGUACAGGGUUAUGUGGAUCGCUUAAUGGUAAUUCGGCUGAUGAUUUCGACAAUGAAUCGCAAUUCAUAAACGACUGGAAAGUACAAAUAAAUGCAUCGUUGUUCACCAACGAUUCGUAUCAUAAAGAUCUUGAGCCUUGGGUUUUUCCAACAUGCACAUGCAAGAAAAUCACUGGAGGAAACGGCGCAUUUUCGUGUGACAGAAGUCUCGUGGGCUGUACUCGAGGGACGCUUGCUGGUUACCAUAGUUGCGGUGAGCUGAUAGAAAGUCGUCCAGUGAGAUCCACGUCAAUAAAAUCAAGAAAACCAGAGAUAAAGAUACCAGUCUUACAUCAGCGAUUCCAUGUCCGAAAUCGUCGAAGAGCAUACGUAUGGAAGAACGAUAUGGCGCGAAGUCAUUGUGAGCAGGAAUUAAAAGCAAUACAGGACAUGUGUAAUAAAAUUCCAGACACACACACGAACGUGUCUUUGGAAAAUUGCGUGCUGGAUAUAAAGAUAACCAACUCAUCAGACUGGUUAGCGAUGUCAAAGCAAUCCAUGUUGCAAACAUGUCAAAAUGAGAUCCAGCGUAAUAGUACUGUUAUUAAAGACUUAAUUGAAAAAGCGGAGAACAAAAACACAACAAGCACAGGGGCAGCAGAAACACAUAUAACAACUGUCGCUCCACCGACGCUCGCAGAAUUGAACAUUUUGAAAGAAAUUUUAAAAAUCUCUGAAACCAUUGAAGAACGAUUUUGCAUGAAUAAUUGCAGUGGAAGUGGUAUUUGCGUCAACGGAACGUGUCGAUGUAACUCGGGUGUCGGCGCGGUCGAUUGUUCCAUUGAUCUUAAAAAACCACCAAUUAUAUCUGGGAUAUUAGAUCAUGGGCUUUGUGACCAGAACAAGACGGACUGUUCUAAGAUUGUUGUCUUUGGUGGAGAAUUUACAUCGUCUAACUUGACUUGCCGAUUGAACACAUUUUAUUUUGACAUACACGGGACACCUCACAAUGAAAGUAGACAUGAAGUUCCUGGGCACGCUGAAACAAUUGUGGAGACAAUAUGUCCCCUCCAUGGAUUACGGCAACGUAGAUCCAUUGACAAUAGGUUUGUUGUCGGAUUCCAUGUAUCCGUAAGUAACGACGGUGAAAACUACGAUUACCACAAACAAGGGUUAGCCUACAUUUAUAACUCGCAUUGCCAGACGUAUGGUUUUGCAAAAGAUAAAGAAUGGAUAUACACGUUUCCACUGAAGACUGCAUACAAGCAGACUUGUGCAAGACGAAACGCAUUUCUGUCUGCGAAGUCAUGAACGAUACAAUACAGUGUUCAUGUGCGCGAGGUUUCUCUCAAAAUGAAUCCGACUCAAACGACUGUGCAGAAAUUUCACUGACAACUAUUGUUCCGGAUGAAGUUUAUGAUGGUAGACACAGCCAUGUUGUUGUUGAAGUUAAGUUGGACUACAUCUUUCCGCAAGGUUUAACAUUGAAUGCGUCAACAACCUACGGACGAUACGAACUUGAACUUAGU